rnacentral:rRNA from 1 species
GAUGAACGCUGGCGGCACGCCUAACACAUGCAAGUCGAACGGAGUCAAGAGGAGCUUGCUUUUCUUGACUUAGUGGCGCACGGGUGAGUGACGCGUGAGUAACCAGCCCUGGUGUGGGGGACAACAGCUGGAAACGACUGCUAAUACCGCAUAAGCCCACCGACCCGCGUAGAUCUGCGGGAAAAGGAAUUUGUCGCUUCAGGUUGGACGCGCGUCCAGUUAGCAAGUUGGUGAGGUAACGGCCCACCAAGGGGACGAUUGGUAGCGGGACAGAGAGGUUGCACGGCCACAUUGGGAGUGAGACAGCGCAGAGACUCAUAGGGGAGGGAGCAGUGGGGGAUAUUGCACAGUGGGAGAGACUCAGAUGGAGCUACGGCGCGUGGAGGAAGAAGGUUUGGGGAGUGUAAACUCCUGUCGUUAGGGACGAUAAUGACGGUAACUAACAAGAAAGCACCGGCUAACCACGUG